CUCCGGAGGGGGCAGGGUGAGAUAUUUGCCAUCAGAGCAAUGUAACUACAUGCAAGGAAACCCCCCUACUAAAACUCCAGGUUAAACAUUGAGCUCUAGAAUCAUUCUUCAGUGAAAUCAGUUAAUGUUCCCCAGAUAAAGAAGAGUAGCACAUGUUUUAUUAUGCUAACCAUUUAUAAUCAUGUGUAAGGUUCUCUUUAGCAUACUAAAAGGCCCAGGCCUAUGUGCUGUCUUUCCUCCUUCAGAUCUGAUGAAGUGAUUUUGCAAACUGGGCAACUAAUUUAGCAAGUAAGCCCAGGCAUAAACAACACAGUAAAAGGCAGGAAGGAUUCCAUCUUAAAAAUAAGAUUGCAUUUUAAUACCCAAGAAGUUAAGACGUUAGAAAUUCUUAACUUACUCUUUAGCAAACAAUACCUCAGCCUACCUUGGGGGCUGAGCAGGUGGCCUUGUUUCAUAUGCUCCCAGACCAAGAUGCUGGUAUCUCAGAGAGAAAUUAUCAGAGGAAGUUACUUGUGUUAAGUUAAUUCUAAAUAUUCAGGGACCACUUAACAAGUUCACACCCCUAAGUUUUUCCAUGUUCUCGAAAAAUCCUCAGCUGCCUAUAAAAUCCCCUAGACAACACACCACUACGGACUCUCUUGUCCCCUCCUGGCAUGAGCCGGGAGCUCUAUCCUUUCACUUUAUCUCUAAAUAAAAGCCUGUACCUUGCUCUCCUACCUUGGCUGUUUGUGAAGCUCAUUCUUCGGCUCCGCAAAUAAGAACCCUGGCAUCAUCUUUGGGGGCUUCUCUGGGAUAACUUCGAAGAAAUAUCAGAAUUUCCUUAUGUCAACUGUCUUACAGUAAUCUCUCAUCAGAUCUUUAACCAUUGUCAUUUAAGCCACAAAACUGCAAAUGGAGAUAGAACCUGGAAUAAAAGUGCCCAUCUUCUGAGGCCCUCUCGAAUGACCACUGAUGGAGACCUAGCUGCACCCCUUACUGCACCACCUCUCAGCAUGAAACAACCAGAGCGGUCAUCGCCCCCUCUCCCUAGCAGCAGCUAGGGUCUCUAUCUGUAGAGGGGGGAAUGAGACAGGGACUGUGGAUGUAGUCAGAGUAGGGUGAGGGCCUCUGGAGGGGGCAGGGCGAGAUAUUUGCCAUCAGAGCAAUGUAACUACAUGCAAGGAAACCCCCCUACUAAAACUCUAGGUUAAACAUUGAGCUCUAGAAUCAUUCUUCAGUGAAAUCAGUUAAUGUUCCCCAGAUAAAGAAGAGUAGCACAUGUUUUAUUAUGCUAACCAUUUAUAAUCAUGUGUAAGGUUCUCUUUAGCAUACUGAAAGGCCCAGGCCUAUGUGCUGUCUUUCCUCCUUCAGAUCUGAUGAAGUGAUUUUGCAAACUGGGCAACUAAUUUAGCAAGUAAGCCCAGGCAUAAACAACACAGUAAAAGGCAGGAAGGAUUCCAUCUUAAAGAUAAGAUUGCAUUUUAAUACCCAAGAAGUUAAGACGUUAGAAAUUCUUAACUUACUCUUUA